GGAUCAAUUUAUUGGUCGUGCUAUUGUACGUACUGGUAUUAUUGAUUUCUACCUUCUGACGAACCAUGAUGUCAUUAAUUUGAUGUCUUGGGAAAUCAGGACUGUUACUUUGAAAAAAUUAGAGUGUUUAAAGCAGGCUCACGCUUGAAUACAUUAGCAUGGAAUAAUGAAAUAGGACGUUUGAUUCUAUUUUGUUGGUGUCUAGAAUCGACGUA
rnacentral:rRNA from 1 species